rnacentral:lncRNA from 1 species
AAAAAAAAAAAUUUUUUGUAAAACAGCUAAACUUAUUAAAAUAUAAAAAAAAAAAUUUCAAUAUGAAAAGUAAUAAAAAGGAUAAAAAGAAAGAUCACAGUAAUAAACGUAGUAAGUCUAAAGAGGAUGAAAACAUAGAACAGUACGAAUGUAACGACAACUCGAAACAACACGAAGAAAACGAAAAAAAAAAUGAAACUACAGAAAUUUUAAAAAAUGAGAAAAGAGAAGAUAACAUAGGAGAAAUAGAAUAUGAAAAAAAAAAUAAUAAUAUAUGUAAAAAUAUGAGCCAAAGCUCGAGCCAAAGUAGGAUUGAAUGUGUAAGUCAAGACACGAGCAAAAGCGUGAAUAAAAAUACAGCAUUAGAUACAAAAAACACAACGGAUACCCUUGAAGAAAAUACAAAAAAAAACAUAAUUUCAAACGAACGCGCUGACAUUGAUAUAGAUAAUAGUAAUAACAAUAUUAACACUAACAUUGAUGGUAAUAACGAUAAUAGUAACAAUAAUAAUAAAAUAAAUAGUGAUAAUAAUAAUGAUGAAAACUUAUGUUAUAACAUGAAAGUUAAAAGUCGAAAGAACAUGUGGGAAUCAACAAUAAAUAAGGUCCUCAAAUCAAAAGAUACAUUUGAUAAAUUUGAAAAAAUUGAAAACGUAAAUAUAAACAGACAAGGAAAAAUAAAUAAAGAAAAAUUAAAAGUAUAUAUGCGUAAUUAUCUUGGUGUUUCACACAAAAAAGAUGUUUAUGAGUAUAUUCCAGAUACAUCUAACAAUUUAAUUUGUCAUAAUAACCCAAACGAAUUAUAUCAUGAUGUAGUUAAUAUAAAUAAAAACCUAUUAGAUAAUAGUAAUAAUAUAAAUGUAUAUUUUUCUCCAGUAGAUACUUAUCUUUCAAAUGUGGUAAAAACGUCGGAGUCUUUAAAAAUUCAAAAUAAUCAAUCGAAAUCGUCAUUUGCGAAUAAUUCCAAAUUAUUUAAUUAUCAAAAUAGUAGUUUAAAGCAAAAUGAAAAUUAUAUUUUAGAUGAUAGAUGUAAUGAAAAACCAUUGUAUGCAUACGAAUUUUAUAAAAAUAAAAUUUUUAAGCACUAUAAUAAUGAUGUUAUUAUAGAAAUAGAUCCUAAAGAAAUAAAAUAUAAUAAUUCGAAUUACUAUGAAUAUAAUAAAAAUAUGUACAACUAUACUGAAGAUCCAUUAUCUUAUUUACAGAAAUUAAAAUGUGAAGUGGAGGAUCUUAC